rnacentral:rRNA from 1 species
CAUGUAGGCGGAUUAAUAAGUUUGAAGUGAAAUCCUAUAGCUUAACUAUAGAACUGCUUUGAAAACUGUUAAUCUAGAAUGUGGGAGAGGUAGAUGGAAUUUCUGGUGUAGGGUAAAUCCGUAGAGAUCAGAAGGAAUACCGAUUGCGAAGGCGAUCUACUGGAACAUUAUUGACGCUGAGAUGCGAAAGCGGUAGGGGAGACAAAACGA